UUGAGAGGGGCCUGUUCGAUAUGUAUACAUUGAAUUGUUGAGAUGUGGAGAAGGUAAUAUAUUUCUAUCACACGUUCACCUUUUUAGACUGGUUAUGUAUACUGUGGUAAAUCAGUUUCUUAUCUUUUAGUUGUCCGGAAUAAUAUUCUUCCAUACUCAUUAAGAUGGGGUUACAAAAAAGAAAGAAUAUGACAAGCCGUCUACCGAUGAUUUACUUUUUCUUAUGCAGGAAGGAGACUAGAAAAAAAAAAAUUCCAUGGUAUAAAGAUUAGUUCCCUCCAUAGCAUGAAGAUUUUUCGCAAUGCUGAGUUAGUUUCCUUUUUUUUAUUAUUACUAUGGACUAAAAAGUUAGGUAGAGAAAAGCAGUGGGUAAUUGAAAGUAGGGGUGAAACUCUAUUAACCAAAUUGCCACCUUAUUAGCUUUUGACUAUCUACUUCAAGGACUUAUAUGCAUGUCAUUGUGUAAGAAGAUAAUCAGCUCUUAUGGGCCAUUUAGUUGUCUUGUUUAUCUUAAAUUGUCCAUGCUCUUUAAGAACUCCGAACAAUAACUGAUAUCUGGUGUUAUAUGUAUUUUAAAUGGGUAUUAUGUUGGAAGGUGAUAAAUAAUGCUUCUUAUAAUGGUCAGAGCAAGUGGGAGUGGCCCUCUCUAUUAAAUCAAAAAAUAAUGGUCAGAGCAAUUUAGAGAAGCAAAACUAAUCUAUCUUAUUGUAUGGAUGUUUUUGUUGCAAUUUGUGUCUUUCAAAAUAUUAAUAUGAGCUAAUAAACAAAUUGUGGCAUCAGAUUUAAAUGCAGCAACCUUGUUGAUAUUGUUAUAAUUAUUAUACCCUUAUUUCUGGUGCAGUGCCAAUAUCGGUAAUCGCAUCUUUAAGAAGAUCAAGGCCUUUGUCCACAAAAAAUCCUUGCUUGCUGAUGCUUUAUAGACAUCAUCAGAACUUGAAAUUCUUUUCAGUGAGAUGCUUAGUUGUAUUUAAUGCCUUCAUUAUGGUCAUAUGCCUUCCCAACACUGCUUUCCCUACUCGGCAACCCCGUUGCAUUUUUUUCUCUCUCAAUCCCUCACAUGUAACUUCCUUAGUGAAAAGUUCUGCAGCACUUUGCAAGUUGCUCGCACUAGUAUCACUCAUACAUUGAUAUGCUAAUGCUUCUUGCGCACUCUCUUCUAUUUUCCAUACUUUUUGCAAAAUUAAAGAUUGUUAGUGAUGAUGGAAAAGAAGAUGCCUACAGCUCUUCACUGAGGCAGAUAUUGAAGAACUGCAGGUUAUAUUCAAUCACUUCUUGUUGUGAGCUCUUAAUUAUUCUUCAUCUGUUCUGUGGAUACUUGUUGUUUGACUUUACAGUCAUGCAUCGUUGUUGCUGAAAAUCUAUAUGAGGAUCAUUGUUACCAUAACCUUAUGAAGGUUUUUUCAGCUGUAGGUGAUAUAUGUCAAUUUUUUCGAAGUCAUGAAAAUUUUAGAUGUCUUAUGAUGUAAACUUAUGUACUCUAGUGUGAAAACUAUUCGUAUCUGCUAUCCUCAGAAUCCCAAUGGCAACCGCAACGGCACAACUGCUACAGCAAAUCGAUCAUCAAAUGUCAAAAUGCUUUUCUAUAACAAGGCUAUAUGAUUAGCUGUCAUUGUUUUGGCAUAAUUCUGGUGCUGCUACAUUAUGAAAUAGUGCUUGUUUAUCAUUCUCUUGGGGCCUGUUUAUCUGAGUGGAGAACCUGAUAGUCUGGACUUCUGUUUAGAAAGCAAAAACAGGGAGAGCUUAGAGAGCGAUCGGAUCUUUCAGCAGCUACCAGGGAGUUCAACCAGUUUGGUCAGCUGGAACCUCCAGUUUGGUGAUGGGAUUUGACAGCAUCACUCAAAUGUCCUUCAGGGACAUGCUAAUAUUGCAGUAGUAUUCAAGAACGCGACAGAGUCCGCAUACUCCAACCUCAUGCCGACACAUUACAAUGUUCCACGUCACACUCCACAGGGAUAUUUCAGCUUCUUUGUUGGGUGUUCGAAGUCGGCAGGCAGGUAAUGUAUCAGGAGUUUGGAAGUUAUUGCUCGGUGCACAUAUGUGCUUUGGCAAAUUUUAUCCUUGUUUGACCGCUUCGUUUUUCAUGGGUAAAAUUAUGCUACUGAGUCGUUUCCUUAGCUUAUGAGAGAACUAUUUAUGAAGCUAAAAAUUUAGUACAUAGCAGUUGUUUGAGCAAGAGAUGCUUCAUUAAUUUUUCAAUCGCAAGCUUUUUUUGGUUUUUGAGAUGGAAAAAAGAAUUAUUCAAUCACAAGCUUAAAAAACUCAGAAAUUGCAAUGAGCUAACUAGUGCUCAUCAUUUUCAUCAUCCAAGCUAUUCGGUAUGGUAUUAGAUAUGGAACACAUGUAAAAGUUUGAGAAUGCUCCAUGGAAGAGUCCAAGAAUUUACAACUAGCUUUAACCUGUCAUCUAGUUGAAUUUGACAGGAUAUCUAUCUCGUUGUUUGUAAAGCUCGUGCAAUCGAGGAACAACCUCCAAUAUUCUAUUACACAUGCAAUGAGUGGAGAUGAAGGAAGAUGAUGAUAACGUUUGAUAUAAGACUACAGUAUGCUGACUGAAAAGUGGUCCCAAAUGAUGGAAUAUUUCUGAAUUAAAGACCAAUCAAUGAUAUAAAAUAGUAAAUGUUGGAACAGUAGAAUAGUAAUGCAUGAAGACAAAUCUGGAUUUCUUAGCAUAGGCCAAGUUAUUGUAUGUUUUUUUCUCAAAUGCAACACGCUAUUAUAUGUUUAAGUUGUACUUCUUUCAUAUUGAUCUCUAUGAAAUGAAGGUGAUGGCUUUGCAUCCUUAUACUCAAAAAAUAUGUAUUCAAAUUCA